CUGUCACUCACCGUUACAAGGAGUGAUGGGAGAUAUAUAUACGUCAUAGGGGCCUCCAAAGGUCCUGAAGCACAAAACCAUAGAGUUCACCUGAUCACAUGACCCGCAGGUCCUGCUACGCUAUGGACAGGACACCAAAUUGGAAUGCUUCCGCUUGAAAAGGUGCCACUGAGGGUGUGAUACAUACGAGCUGCUGGAUAGCUACCUAGGAGAUGGCCCUGAAAUACAUUAAAAGCUGUCAUUAAAAGGGUAUCUUCAUAUGCUGUUUAGAAUAGACAAUAAGACACCCUGGUCAUUGUGGUCUGUCUUAUAGAGAUAUCUUACAUAAGUCAGCGCUCAAAUUAAUUCUAUGAAUCAACUUUGUGACUCAUGAUUCAGCUUUCAAUUAGUAAUGUGUUUUCUUUUAAAAGUUUUAAUUACUUGACUGUUGUUCUUUACAAAU